rnacentral:lncRNA from 1 species
CUAGGCUCAUGCCUGCUUUGGUCAGUAGAAUACAGCUGAAGUGAUGUUGUACCAGUUUUGCGUCUGGUCUUUACAAGCACUGGUAGCUUCAACUUUCUCCUUCUUGGUACUCACCCACCAUGUUGUAAGGAAACCCAAACAGCCACGUGGAAGACAGUUCUAGUUGAGCUCCCAGCCCAGAGCCUAUCCCAACUCUCCAGCCAUGACCCUGACUUCCUUCAGCAAAGAGACAGCUUCUGAUUCAUGUUCGUCUCACCAUAAUGCAGUCCUUGAAGGCUCACCUAUCCUCGUGGCUGCAGCCAUUUCCCUCUCUGCAGAUACUUCCAAAAGUUACACUAGAUGUUAACUGAGCACUAAGGACACUACGUGAAAGACUGGAGUACAAACAUCCAAAGGACUGAAGAAUUUGAAGAGCACUGAAUGUGGGAGAUAGGACAGAGGAAAGGAGUCAAAUGUCUCCAAGAAACGAAGCCUGUGUGCCCUGGAGAAUGAAGAAGCAUCAUCAAAUCGGGGAGACUGAAGGAGGAAUCGGUUUUCAGAGAAAAACAAUUUAUAUUGUCUUAGCUGUGUUAGGUGGCAUACUAUUACAUUCAAGUGAAGCUGUGUAAUAGACAGAGAUGACAAAUUUUAUUCAUUUAUGAAUGCCCCCCAAAAUAUAUAUAUAGUUUUUGCCCUCAUGUCUCUUAUUGGGAUGACAGACAUAAAUCAAAGAAUUCCAUAAAUAAAUAUUAAAAUACAAUUUGUGAUA